CCUGCCUCAGCGAGCACUUCUUCUCCUGCACGCACCAGCCGCACUCGAACCUGGGGUUGGCCUUCAGACACAUGCCACAGCUGUCCCUCAGAGCGUAGCACUUGUACACGUGGGCUGUGGAGCAGGAGAGACGCCGGUGGCACUAAAGACAGAGGAGAAGAGGUGUUGUUGGGAAGGAGACUGGAAAACGUUGGCGGAUGGGCUGAGCUGGAGCGCGUGCUGUGCAAAAGACACAAACAGCAAAGAAGAAGAAUGGGGAACGGGGCGGGGAGAGGAUCACACGGCGGCGGGAGUGAAGGAGAAAUGGCGAGGGCCAGAUGGAUAGAGAGAGAGACCACCCAGUCUGCCUGGGAACAAGAGGGCUUCUUCACUGGGCGAAGGUGGAGACAACACAAGAAGGCAAUGAGAAAGAAGACAAGGAGCGAGCGAGCGACAGAGAGAGAGAGAGAGAGAGAGAGGGAGGAAACGAGCAGUCGGGUCUUAAUCCAGCCUGCUCAGCUUUAGAAAUCUGCUUGUACAUCUGGAGCCACAGAGGGAACAGACACGCACCUGGACCUCCGACAUGGUCACGGAGAUGUUCCUCGGCUGGACCGUGAGCUCCACGCACUGCCUCUGG